rnacentral:rRNA from 1 species
AUUGAACGCUAGCGGGAUGCUUUACACAUGCAAGUCGAACGUGUGGCGGACGGGCGAGUAAUCUAUCGGAACGCGCCCAGUAGCGGGGGCUAACUACUCGAAAGAGUGGCUAAUCACCAACACUAUUGGAGCGGCCGAUAUCGGAUUAGUUAGGUGGUGGGGUAAAGGCUCACCAAGGCAACGACCCGUAGCUGGUUUGAGAGGACGACAGGCCACAAUGGGACUGAGACACGGCCCAGACUCCUACGGGAGGCAGCAGUGGGGAAUAUUGGACAAUGGGGGCAAACCUGAUCCAGCCAUGCCGCGUGUAUGAGAAGGCCUUCGGGUUGUAAAGUACUUUUAGCAGAGAAGCGGUAUCUGCAGAAUAAGCACCGGCUAACUACGUGCCAGCAGCCGCGGUAAUAC